rnacentral:rRNA from 1 species
UACGGAGGGGACUAGCGUUGUUCGGAAUCACUGGGCGUAAAGCGCGCGCAGGCGGUCAUCUACGUCUGGGGUGAAAGCCCGGAGCUCAACUCCGGGAUUGCCUUGGAUACGGGAUGACUUGAGGAUCGGAGAGGCAAGGGGAAUUCCACGUGUAGCGGUGAAAUGCGUAGAGAUGUGGAGGAACACCUGUGGCGAAGGCGCCUUGCUGGCCGAUUUCUGACGCUGAGGCGCGAAAGCGUGGGGAGCAAACAGG